AUAUUUUAAAGGGAAUAUCUUGUCAUCCAGCUGUUAUGGUUAAUAAUGGAUAGUUUUCUCUCUCUGGGUGAGGCUUAUCCAUUGCACACCUGAUGUGCUGACCCCUGCGAUUUCCCCAAAUGUGGGAAAGUUGCCCGCGUAAUUUGUGGUCAUGGGGGACUGUGUGUUCCUGCUUUUCCCUG
ensembl:snRNA U1 U1 spliceosomal RNA